GUGACCUCAAAUCAGGUAGGACUACCCGCUGAACUUAAGCAUAUCAAUAAGCGGAGGAAAAGAAACUAACAAGGAUUCCCCUAGUAACUGCGAGUGAAGCGGGAAAAGCUCAAAUUUAAAAUCUGGCAGUCUUUGGCUGUCCGAGUUGUAAUCUAGAGAAGUGCUAUCCGCGCUGGACCGUGUACAAGUCUCCUGGAAUGGAGCGUCAUAGAGGGUGAGAAUCCCGUCUUUGACACGGACUGCCAGGGCUUUGUGAUACGCUCUCAAAGAGUCGGGUUGUUUGGGAAUGCAGCUCAAAAUGGGUGGUAAAUUCCAUCUAAAGCUAAAUAUUGGCGAGAGACCGAUAGCGAACAAGUACCGUGAGGGAAAGAUGAAAAGAACUUUGGAAAGAGAGUUAAACAGUACGUGAAAUUGCUGAAAGGGAAACGCUUGAAGUCAGUCGCGUUGUCCAGGGAUCAACCUUGCUUUUGCUUGGUGCACUUUCUGGUUGACGGGUCAGCAUCAAUUUUGACUAUUGGAAAAAGAUCAGGGGAAUGUACAUCCUUGGAUGUGUUAUAGCCCUUGGUUGCAUACAAUGGUUGGGAUUGAGGAACUCAGCACGCCGCAAGGCCGGGUUUUAAACCACGUACGUGCUUAGGAUGCUGCAUA
rnacentral:rRNA from 1 species